GGCUUGCAGCUCACUGACCCCAGCAGGAGGCAGAUGGGGAAGAAGAGGAAGCUGGGACAGGUGGGCCAGAGGGUGACCACCAGGCUGUGGCCCUGGUCCCAGGUGGGGAGGUCAGCAGUCCAGUAUCCAAGGUGCAAAAUUCAGCUCCACUCAGCCUAGAUCAACAUCCAGAUGGGACCAACCUGGAGCAGGACACCAGACAGUGGCUGGGGACAGAGCGAGAGGGUCCAGUAUAUGGAGAAGUGUCAAGAGAGUUAGGGCCCCAGCCAAGAAAAUGGAGGUGUUGCAAGACUCCAGGACCUGGGACACUGUAAGAGUUGAUCGCUCCAUCCAUUGGUGAGGCUGGCCGUGGGCUUGAGAAUGAUGAUUGUAAGACCCCUGUCUCAGGUCAGGAUCCUCCAGAGGCAGACCCUGAGACCAGCAUCUGAGAAGAAGUGGUUUAUCCGGGAGGCGGUCCCAGGGGCUGCUCCCCAGGAUGCUGACCGUCAGCACUUCCGGCCCUCCCCACACGCUGUCUGAGGGAACGCCUCUGUCAGAAAGGGAGUAAGACUCCACGGGUGGAACCAGGAUCUGGAGAACACACAGGUGGAGCACCCACAGCAUCUGCUCAGCUCCCAUCCAUCCUUCCACACCUGCCAGCCUGGACCUCCCUGAAGGACCGUCCACCCACCCUCUUAAAGGCCGUGUGGUUUCCAACAACACGCAUAACCCCUGAAGCCUCAGUUCCCUUCUCUGUAACAUG